CAGUCGCCGCGGGAACACGUAGGUGGCAAGCGUUAUCCGGAAUUAUUGGGCGUAAAGCGCGCGUAGGCGGUUUUUUAAGUCUGAUGUGAAAGCCCACGGCUCAACCGUGGAGGGUCAUUGGAAACUGGAAAACUUGAGUGCAGAAGAGGAAAGUGGAAUUCCAUGUGUAGCGGCGAAAUGCGCAGAGAUAUGGAGGGACACCAGUGGCGAAGGCGACUUUCUGGUCUGUAACUGACGCUGAUGUGCGAAAGCGUGGGGAUCAAACAGGAUUAGAUACCCCUGUAGUCCCUGUCUCUUAUAC
rnacentral:rRNA from 1 species